CCUGGUGCCAAUGGCGGUGUGGUCCCACUCCGAUCCAUCCCGAACUCGGUUGUGAAACGCACCUGCGGUGAAGAUAGUGAGGGGGUUGCCCCUUGUGAAAAUAGCUCGGUGCCAGGG
rfam:Leptolyngbya sp. Heron Island J, whole genome shotgun sequence.